GGGGAAUUAACUCAGGUGGUAGAGCACUUGCUUUGCAUGCAAGAGGCUGUGGGAUCAAUACCUACAUUCUCCA
rnacentral:tRNA from 1 species